GAUGAACGCUGGCGGCGUGCCUAAUACAUGCAAGUCGAGCGAACGGACGAGAAGCUUGCUUCUCUGAUGUUAGCGGCGGACGGGUGAGUAACACGUGGAUAACCUACCUAUAAGACUGGGAUAACUUCGGGAAACCGGAGCUAAUACCGGAUGAUAUUUUGAACCGCAUGGUUCAAAAGUGAAAGACGGUCUUGCUGUCACUUAUAGAUGGAUCCGCGCUGCAUUAGCUAGUUGGUAAGGUAACGGCUUACCAAGGCAACGAUGCAUAGCCGACCUGAGAGGGUGAUCGGCCAAAAUGGAACUGAGAAACGGGCCCGAAUCCUAAGGGAGGCAGCAGUAGGGAAUCUUCCGCAAUGGGCGAAAGCCUGACGGAGCAAAGCCGCGUGAGUGAUGAAGGGCUUCGGAUCGGAAAACUCUGUUAUUAGGGAAGAACAUAUGUGUAAGUAACUGUGCACAUCUUGACGGUACCUAAUCAGAAAGCCACGGCUAACUACGUG
rnacentral:rRNA from 1 species